GAUGAACGCUAGCGAUAGGCCUAACACAUGCAAGUCGAGGGGCAGCAUAGAGUAGCAAUACUUUGAUGGCGACCGGCGCACGGGUGAGUAACACGUAUGCAACCUACCUACAUCAGGGGAAUAACCCGGAGAAAUUCGGACUAAUACCGCAUAAUACAGGGAUGCCGCAUGGCAAUAUUUGUUAAAGAUUUAUCGGAUGUAGAUGGGCAUGCGUUCCAUUAGCUAGUUGGUGAGGUAACGGCUCACCAAGGCAACGAUGGAUAGGGGAACUGAGAGGUUUGACCCGCACACUGGAACUGAGACACGGACCAGACUCCUACGGGAGGCAGCAGUGGGGAAUAUUGGUCAAUGGACGAGAGUCUGAACCAGCCAAAUCGCGUGAAGGAAGACUGCCCUACGGGUUGUAAACUUCUUUUGUACAGGAAUAAAAGACAUUACGUGUAAUGUAUUGCAUGUACUGUACGAAUAAGCAUCGGCUAACUCCGUGCCAGCCGCCGCAGUAA
rnacentral:rRNA from 1 species